GAACAUGGCUGAGAAAGUAUCUGUGAAUGAAGAUAUCAAUUUCUACAGGCAUAUGUCAAGUAGUGGUAUAAUUAGGUCGUAUGGACUCCAGGGCAGUGAUCUAUGAUGGGACAGAAUGCCAGGUCCUGCGCAUGCUUAGGAAGUUUUCUACCCCUGAGUGACACCAUUAAUUUUUCUUUUAAAUCCUACAUCCUGAAGAAGAAUACAAGAAAAUGAGACCCUUGUUGCUGUAGUUUUCAAAAGACUGACAUGGUUAAUCUUGGAGAGAGAAGACCAAAGAGCCAGGUCUUGAACAAUCGGAGCUGCUCAGACUGCUGUUGCAGCUGCUGGAGAGAUAAGCACUUUGCAAGUGUGCUUCACCACUUCAUUUCCUUAUUUUAUGAAGGAGGCUUCUGCUUGUGUUUGACCUUGGGAUUUCAGGGCUUUUGGCUGGUUUUCUUUGCAGUUCUUUUGCAAAGCUCCUAAGAAUUUUAACACAGGAGAAAACUACUUGGAGUGCUCUCUCAUAUGCCAAUCCUGUCAUUUGUGCCAAUGUGCCCCAUUGUGACUCAGGGGAUGAGAACCCUGUUGGAGUCAUUUCUUCGGACUGUUGUAAGUGUAAAUAAAUCAUCCAUUUUCAGCCUGACCUUUAGGACGUCUCUCGGCUUCUUGACCACUCCGGCAUUUCUCCCACUGUUCCAGAGCCCUCAUCCAGUGGCUGAUGGAAGCAGAGACAGACACUCACAGAUAUACACUGAACUGAACUCUGGAAUCUAGUUGCAGAGAGGGAGGAAUGAAGAUCAAAGGGGUUGGUACCAGGCUGGUGAAACAGAAACAGCUGGCAUGAACAAGGGGGAGCAAUCGACCCAAGACUACUAUCUGGGAGGCCAGUACAGGACUGAUCCAGACCCCUGAACAUGGAUGUCAAUGAGGAGGCCUCUGUACUCUAGGGGGCCCCUGGUAGUGCAUUAGUGUUUUUCCCUGGUCUAAGAAGGGACUUUGAGAACCCAUCCCACGUGAAGGGAUGCACUCUUGGCCUGGACACAUGGGGAAGGGCCUAGGCCUGGCCUAGGAUGAUGUGGUGGACUUUGGGGAGCCCCUGUU
rnacentral:lncRNA from 1 species